rnacentral:misc_RNA from 1 species
UUAGGAUUUGGCGAGGAAGCAUUACAAUCUCUUCUGGGGAAAGCUGGGUCCCAGGUACUUGCCCUGGAUCCAUGCAUGCUUAAUAAUGUGAUUUGAUUUUGUUCAACUGGAGGUUCACUUUGCACCAUAUUAGGUUUUAUUUCCUUAAAGAGUUCUUUUUGUUUAUUUGGGGGGAUACUUGUGUGGUUUCUCCACUUUCUUCUGUUUUAUCCUUUCUUUUCUCUUUUUUUCUUUCUUCCACUGUUCUUAAUCCCGUACAAGGGGUAUCAUCAGGAUAUAACAACUGCAUUCCUGCUACUCUUUGUUCCCAUUUUUAUUCCUCAGUAAAGUCCAUGCUACGCAUUUAAAUGAUAUUAACAUGGUUUGAAGUUCAGCAUUUCAUGUGAACCAUAACCUUAGCUUAUUUUCCACAGGAUGUCAAUGAUGUACUUACAGCUAUAGAUCAUGUCAUUGACAG